GUUGUGAUGGGGAGGGAAGUUUAGUACCGAAGUACCCGAUGUCACACUGUCAAGAAAAUUUUCUAGUUAGAUUAUCACUACCCGUACCGCAAACCGACACAGGUAGUCGAGUGGAGAACACUAAGGUGAGCGAGAGAACUCUCAUUAAGGAACUCGGCAAAAUGACCCCGUAACUUCGGGAGAAGGGGUGCUGAUGGCAACAUCAGCCGCAGUGAAUAGGCCCAAGCAACUGUUUAUCAAAAACACAGGACUGUGCAAACUCGCAAGAGGACGUAUACGGUCUGACACCUGCCCGGUGCUGGAAGGUUAAUUGAUGGGCUUAGCGUAUGCGAAGGUCUUGAUCGAAGCCCCAGUAAACGGCGGCCGUAACUAUAACGGUCCUAAGGUAGCGAAAUUCCUUGUCGGGUAAGUUCCGACCUGCACGAAAGGCGUAAUGAUUUGGGCACUGUCUCAACGAGAGACUCGGUGAAAUUAUAGUACCGGUGAAGAUGCCGGUUACCCGCGACAGGACGGAAAGAC
rnacentral:rRNA from 1 species